GGAGCGGUGGGUGAGUGGCUGAAACCAGCAGUUUGCUAAACUGUCGCACGGGGUAACUCGUGCCGAGGGUUCGAAUCCCUCCCGCUCCG
rnacentral:tRNA from 1 species